GAAGUGAGAAUGCCGGUAUGAGUAGCGAAAGACGGGUGAGAAUCCCGUCCACCGAAUAACUAAGGUUUCCUGGGGAAGGCUCGUCCUCCCAGGGUUAGUCGGGACCUAAGGCGAGGCCGAUAGGCGUAGUCGAUGGACAACAGGUUGAUAUUCCUGUACUUCUAUAAAUCGUUUGAGCAAUGGAGGGACGCAGGAGGCUAAGAAAAGCGUACGACUGGAAGUGUACGCCCAAGCAGUGAGUCGGCUGAUGAGUCAAAUGCUUAUCACGGAUGCGACAAGCUGUGACGGGGAGGGAAGUUUAGUACCGAAGUUUCUGAUGUCACACUGCCGAGAAAAGCUUCUAGCAAGAUUUAUAGGACCCGUACCGCAAACCGACACAGGUAGUUGAGGAGAGAAUCCUAAGGUGAGCGAGCGAACUCUCGUUAAGGAACUCGGCAAAAUGACCCCGUAACUUCGGGAGAAGGGGUGCUGACAGAGAUGUCAGCCGCAGUGAAUAGGCCCAGGCGACUGUUUAUCAAAAACACAGGUCUCUGCAAAAUCGAAAGAUGACGUAUAGGGGCUGACGCCUGCCCGGUGCUGGAAGGUUAAGAGGAGAGGUUAGCCGCAAGGCGAAGCUUUGAAUUGAAGCCCCAGUAAACGGCGGCCGUAACUAUAACGGUCCUAAGGUAGCGAAAUUCCUUGUCGGGUAAGUUCCGACCCGCACGAAAGGCGUAAUGAUUUGGGCACUGUCUCAACGAGAGACUCGGUGAAAUUUUAGUACCUGUGAAGAUGCAGGUUACCCGCGACAGGACGGAAAGACCCCAUGGAGCUUUACUGUAGUUUGAUAUUGAGUGUUUGUGUCACAUGUACAGGAUAGGUAGGAGCUGAAGAAUCCGGGACGCCAGUUUCGGAGGAGGCAACGGUGGGAUACUACCCUUGUGACAUGACCACUCUAACCCGCACCCCUUACCGGGGUGGGAGACAGUGUCAGACGGGCAGUUUGACUGGGGCGGUCGCCUCCUAAAAUGUAACGGAGGCGCCCAAAGGUUCCCUCAGAAUGGUUGGAAAUCAUUCGUAGAGUGUAAAGGCAGAAGGGAGCUUGACUGCGAGACCAACAAGUCGAGCAGGGACGAAAGUCGGGCUUAGUGAUCCGGUGGUACCGUAUGGAAGGGCCAUCGCUCAACGGAUAAAAGCUACCCUGGGGAUAACAGGCUUAUC
rnacentral:rRNA from 1 species